rnacentral:rRNA from 1 species
UACAGAGGUCCCAAGCGUUGUUCGGAUUCACUGGGCGUAAAGGGUGCGUAGGCGGUUUGAUAAGUCAUCUGUGAAAUCUCUGGGCUCAACCCAGAGUCUGCAGGCGAAACUGUCGGGCUUGAGUAUGGGAGAGGUGAGUGGAAUUUCCGGUGUAGCGGUGAAAUGCGUAGAUAUCGGAAGGAACACCUGUGGCGAAAGCGGCUCACUGGACCAUUACUGACGCUGAUGCACGAAAGCUAGGGGAGCAAACAGG